GGGGAAUAUUGCACAAUGGGCGAAAGCCUGAUGCAGCGACGCCGCGUGAGGGAUGACGGCCUUCGGGUUGUAAACCUCUUUCACCAGGGACGAAGCGUAAGUGACGGUACCUGGAGAAGAAGCACCGGCCAACUACGUGCCAGCAGCCGCGGUAAUACGUAGGGUGCGAGCGUUGUCCGGAAUUACUGGGCGUAAAGAGCUCGUAGGCGGUUUGUCGCGUCGUCUGUGAAAUCCCGCAGCUCAACUGCGGGCUUGCAGGCGAUACGGGCAAACUCGAGUACUGCAGGGGAGACUGGAAUUCCUGGUGUAGCGGUGAAAUGCGCAGAUAUCAGGAGGAACACCGGUGGCGAAGGCGGGUCUCUGGGCAGUAACUGACGCUGAGGAGCGAAAGCGUGGGUAGCGAACAGGAUUAGAUACCCUGGUAGUCCACGCCGUAAACGGUGGGCGCUAGGUGUGGGUUUCCUUCCACGGGAUCCGUGCCGUAGCUAACGCAUUAAGCGCCCCGCCUGGGGAGUACGGCCGCAAGGCUAAAACUCAAAGGAAUUGACGGGGGCCCGCACAAGCGGCGGAGCAGGUGGAUUAAUUCGAUGCAACGCGAAG
rnacentral:rRNA from 1 species